ACGAACGCUGGCGGCGUGCCUAACACAUGCAAGUCGAACGGAGUUAUUACUUAAGUUUACUUUUGUAAUGACUUAGUGGCGAACGGGUGAGUAACGCGUGGGUAACCUGCCCUUAAGAUUGGGACAACAGCUGGAAACGGCUGCUAAUACCGAAUGUAUUUACCGGAAGGCAUCUUCUGGUAAAGAAAGCUGGCCUCUGAAUAUGCUAGCGCUUAGGGAUGGACCCGCGUCUGAUUAGCUAGUUGGUAAGGUAAUGGCUUACCAAGGCGACGAUCAGUAGCCGGCCUGAGAGGGUAAUCGGCCACACUGGGACUGAGACACGGCCCAGACUCCUACGGGAGGCAGCAGUGGGGAAUCUUCCGCAAUGGACGAAAGUCUGACGGAGCAACGCC
rnacentral:rRNA from 1 species